rnacentral:sRNA from 1 species
GUUUGCACUCAUCGGGGAAGGGUGAGAACCUUCGACUAAGGUUCGAUUCGAACGAAAGCGAGAGAACGUUGCCACAGGCAACGGCCCGAAGGGUGAGGAGCGAAGCGACGAAUAAUCCUUCCCCCACCACCA